rnacentral:piRNA from 1 species
UGCCAUGUGGACUUCUUAUUUAUAAUUAAAU